rnacentral:misc_RNA from 1 species
GCUGCCGUGGAUAUCGACGGCUCGUCUGAAAUGCCUCAGUGUACCCCGCUUUGCGGCGUAUUCGGUGUGAUACAUCUUCACCGGAGUUGAUCCUUUUGGGUCGCGUCUGUAAUGUGUGGCUCUAUGCUUCCAACCGUCUCUUAAUGGACAAUCUCUGACAAUUUGACCUCAAAUCGGGCGGGACUACCCGCUGAACUUAA